GAUAAUUCAGAAUUCGUCAAACUUUGCAAGUGCAGAUCACCUGACGUGGAAAAGUCUUCGUGUUUUUGCUUGUUAAAGGCAAACGGAAAAUAUUCAAUGAAAACGUUUAAGCAAAUCAAAGCACGGUCUUUGAUUGGUUGUUUGUCGAUAGGCGUGAAAUUUUGUCCAAUCGCUCACGCGCAAGAACAGAAAGAUUUUGAAGUACAGAGGAUGAGCCUUAUGACCCUCAAGGCCACUAUAAAACUAUAAAAGGGUGAAUAAGCAGAUAAACAGAUUUAAAGAGGUUUCAACUGCAAGUGACUCUGCUGUUUAGAACUUCAAAAUGCGGUCGUUUGCAACAGUUCUCGUCUUUGGCUUCCUGAUCAUGAGCUUCUUUGCAAUGCAAGCCGAUUUGCUUCCAACGGCACACCAUGGUAUUGGAAGCGCCAGUUCCCCGAUGGAGCACGGGGUGGAGCUGAAAAAGCAAGAGGCAACACGAUUUUUGAAGAAAAGAUCUCCUGGGUUGCUUGAGGAGUGUAGGGAAGGCUGUAGUUGGGAAGAAGCCUUUGAGUACUUGAAAUGAAUGCAUUGACAAAAGUUACAUGUUGCAGAUUUUUUGAUAACUAAAUUCGCUGAAUGACUCUGGUAGUGACAAUCUUGUUUAAAAUAGUUUUGAUUUUGCAUUAUUCCAAAAGAUAACAAUAAUAUGUCUGGUCUAAGAUUUUUAUAAGGUUUUUAUUUGACUAUCGCCUAGCUUUUUUAUAAAUCGUUAAAAACUUGUGAAACCAAAUGAUACAGAAUAGAUAAAAAGAUAUCAGAUAGAAAAACAAUAGCAUUUGAUUUAAUUGUCCUUUUAAAUUCAUAAUUGCUAGACUUGGGAUACGCAAAGACGAAUUUCUGAUCGGUAGCGUAUUCCACUAACACGUCUUUGUUCAUAUUUUGUCGUGCAUUCGUGGACAAACCUGCGCAAAAAAGGAAGUGCCAACGAUUUCUCAUUUAGAGACACGAUGAUUUUUGCAUCGUUGGUGCUGUCUAGGAUUCUAAAUGGACCGGUUUGAGAAGUUUUUUGGGCGAACAGCUAGAUCCAAACUAUUCUUUUCUCUUAACGUUAAAAUCAAAACAAUUUUUAAAUGACUUUGCAAAAUCAAGGCAAUAUCUAACUGAAAUAAAAUCUAUGCCGUGUGCAUAUUGUCCCUUUUAAAGAAAAUGCUCACCAGCAGCUUGUCAAAAGGAUAAUGUCAAGAAAUUAUAAAGUCUUUCGUUAAAAAGUACUGGAACUAAAACGGAGAAGUUUCUUUUUGAAACCUACCGCUGAUGGUGUAAAAUUGUAAAAUACUGUUAAUGGCUCGGCAAUUAUGUUCUUGUGUUCAAAGCGUGUUACUUUAACAGAAGCAAGUUCAAUUAUAGUUUGUAGAGUUUUUAGUUCCGCUUUUUAAAUAGAUAAUAUACUUGUAACGCCGUUGGGAACAAUUUUAUUCAUACCCAAAACGAAUGCGUCCGUUACCGAUUGAUCUAGAAACGACUACUCACGCCCAGAUUUCCGGUCAUUUACAAGAUGAUUGUUAUGAAUUAAUUUCUUUCUUUUUGAUAAAGUGCUUCAAAUGGCAAAGCAUUUGAUCAUAAAUAGCAAUGACAUGCCAGUCAAUCUAUUAUUGAUCUCUGAAAUGAUGGAAAUUGCAAUAUUAAAGCAACUGUUUGAGUGGUGCUGGGGAAAAAACGGAAGGUUGAUUGGUCAAACGUAAUGUAAAUUGCCUGUUUAGACCUGCUGUUUCAGCUCCUACGCCAAAGUAUAUACUGAGAUGAACCCAAACCAUAUCAUGUUAAGAGUGGAGACAUCUGCUCCCAAUUCCUUCACAAUUUCAGCCACUGGUAAGGUACCUUAGCACAGCGGUUACACAUAGGACAAACUGCUGUUAAGCAACAAAUUCCUAGGUAAAAAAGUGGUUGCCUCACACGCUAGAAGACUCCGGAUUCAGGUACUGGUUUUGGUAGUAUCCAGCACUGACCUCUUUACCAACCUUUCACCACAAGUGCAGACCACAAGUGCAGGUCAUUGGAGGUGGAAAAGUUUUCGUGUUUUGGCUUGUCUAGAGAAAACGGAAGGUAUGCAGAAAAAUGGUUGAGCCAACCACAGCACAGCAUUAGAUUGGUUGCUCGCGAUAGGUGUGAAAAAUUCGACCAAUCAUUCGAGCGCAAGGACCAGGAGAUUUAUAAGAGGAGAAAGAUGUACUUUCAACCCUCAAGGUCCGAAGGUUAUAAAAAGUGAAUUAGCAGAUAAACAGAUUUAAAGAGGUUUAAACCUGCAAGUGACUCUGCUGUUUAGAACUUCAAAAUGCGGUCGUUUGCAACAGUUGUCAUCUUUGGCUUUCUGAUCAUGAGCUUCUUUGCAAUGCAAGCCGAUUUGCUUCCAACGGCACACCAUGAUGUUGGAAGCGCCAGUUCCUUGAAGAAGCCAAAAUUGGGGUUGAUAAAGGCAAAGGCAACACGGUUUUUGAAAAAGAGAUCUCCUGGAUUAUUGGAAGAAUGCAGAGAGGGCUGCAGUAACGAAGAAAUCAGAGAAGUGUUUUAGCGAAUGCGUUCAUGACCCUUGCAUGUUUUUGGUGAUUUCCAUAAUCGAAGACCAUGAUAUAAAAAAUCCUGUUGAAAAAUUCAGUUUUCUUUCUGCCUAGUUGCGAAUUGUAGUUAUCAUUUGUUUAUUGCUUUGUGAACCAAUGAAGAUCGCAGAUAUCUGA